ensembl:lncRNA
CUUGACGAUGAGAAAAGUCUUGCCAAGAAAAGGCAGAGCAUCUUUGGAUACAAGGGUGGAGAAAGCGGGAUCCCAUGGCCCCUGUCAGAUUGUAUGAUAACAGAUCUGUUAAGCUGAUCUCCGCCUCCAACUGUGCAGUUGAACCUCAAGGCAAAGCUUGAUGCUGAAGCAAAUCAGACCAGGCCACGAAUUGUGAAGGAGUACGAGACAUUCAUGGGGGGGACAGACCUCCUAGAACAUAAACCUUAAAAAUUGUAUUUAAAUUGAAAUCUAUGUUGCUCUGAGAUCUCAUGGUGGACAGCAGCUUAUUAUAUCAGUUUUUGAAUGGGGGGGCGCCCCCCUUGAAAGGUUGCAAACCUCAAAUGAUCAAGUUCUUUAUAAAUUAAAUAUUCAUUGGACUAAUUACAACAAUCACACACAUAGGUGCACACACACACUCCAUCAGCUGCUCAUCAUUUUUACAGGUGUGGUUCCCCACUCCGCCCCGGCUCAAAACAACCAAUCGACAACAAAAACUGAGUGCUACUGUGUUCGGUUCCCUUUCGUCAUACUACACCAUCCAUCAGGGAGCUGUCAGAUAUGACCUUCAACUUGAAAAAGAGAGGCAGAGAGAGAGACGGACGGACGGAGGAAUAAAUCAAGCAACAAAGAGAAAAAGAGGGAGAUGUGUGGAGAGGAGAAAAGAUGGAGAUGGAUAAAGUAGAUUGAUCUACAGUGGAAACGGAACGACACAGCGAGACGUGAUGAGCAUUACAUCGGUGUCCUGCUGAGAUUAGCAUGCUGACACCCAUAUUGAAUUUACACUGGAGUUGUGCCUGUCAUGUGUCCGCACACUUUUGGCCCUCAUGGGGCAUCACGCAGGCUCACAUUCAAUUUAAACUUGACACGAUUUACCAUUUUUCUCAUUAAUACCUCUGCUGUCAGAUUGGACGUGAAGGCUCACUCCGGUGGCCAGCGGAAGAGAAGAAAUGACCCUCUGGUUGCACGUUAUCUGCUCUGAGCUGUUUUAUUGCAUUCAGACUGGAUCUUUACUGCGCGAGGGAAAGGGAUUCCUUAUUUGACAAAGAAAAAAAAGACAAGAAAGCUUUAUUUAUGAAACCGUUAAUUGUUGCUGAAGUUUGGAGCACUCCUCAAACAUGUCUGGGAGAGUUCUCUUCCAAUCAGCUGUUUAAGCUUCCUGACCGAACUGAGAUCAGAUUAACAUCCUUAGCAGCUGUAACUGCCAGCAUGGACACCUCCAUGUUCCAAUCUGAGCAAAACACCAUUUUGUUUGGGGUUAUUAACUAAAUAACUAGAAUUUAUGUAAAUAUCAUAACUUUUAUUACUUUUUUUAUGAAGAAAAAAAAACAAUCACAAUAGCUUUUGGGUCCUCGGUCUCUAUCAUUUUACAGCACUGUUAAUUGUUCCAUUAGUCCGACAAAGCAAAAGAACUGCACUCCCUUAUUUUGGGCACAAAUGUAGGUCACAUGCCUGUGCUCUCUUUAGAAAAGCCUUUAUCACUAAACAAUUUACUAAAAUAAACUAUAGAAAGGACAUGAGGAGGAGGAGUGAAAAUUAGGAGGGCCAUAAAUAAAUGAACACUUUAUAACAGUAUUUGUGUCAUGUGUGGGAGUAAGUGAAUAUUACUGCACCAGGUAAAAGCCACCAACUACUGACAACCAUUUAGAUCACCGAGAGAAUGAAUAGCCACACACCGGUUUAGUUUAGUUUUCAGCUACUAUUAUAGUCAUUACUUUAUCAUCUUCAUCAGUAUAAGUCAACACCUUUUAGUGUUAUAAAGAUGUUGUAAAAUGGGGAAGGGGAUUAAGGUAAACACAUUUUCCAUCGUUCUCUUUGCUUUUGGGAAAACUCUAAAUGAAAGUAGCAGUUCUACUGUUCGUAGUUUGUAAUUUCACCCCAACUGAGUAAAAAAUAAAACACAUGCCAACAAAGUGUGCAGCACUGCAAAGGAAUUUACAUUUUGCUGAUAAGAAGGACCACCUGGGGACCAAAGAAAGAAGUUCAGUCAACCACUGUAGCAUUUCAUGUGAAGGGAAUGUUUUCAGUAGAAAGCUGCAGAGCUACAACACAUCUCCCCACAGCCAAUCUGAGAAUCUCUGAAAAUAAAAAAGAAUGCAGGCGAGGCCAGUGAGCUGGUUUUGAUGGACAGAUGGAUGAAGAAACAGAUGGUCAAUGGAUGGCGGGAUUGAGUGUGUAGCUCCAGGCAGAGGGAGUUUAAGCCACGGAUUAAUUAUUUUACCAGACAAGAUGCGAGUUUCCACGGGAAUGUAAAUCACACAUUAUGAUCUGGAUAUUUGUUACGGCCUCUUACCUGCUCAUCUGUCGCUCGAGCGGGGGCGUUGUUACAUAACAAGCAUUUAUGUGUAACAAGUACCGCUUCUGGAAUUUAUCUGAAGGUCUACUCCACCAAACAAAACAUCUAACAACUGCAUUGCACAUCAAACUGUUCAAAAAACACGUAUUUCUGCAUGCUGGCUUGAAAAGAUUGCAUAAAUUUGUUGAAAAUAAGCCAAACUGGCAACGGCUGUAUUUCAAAAUGGGGACGGAAAACCCCCAAACCGAAGGCUUCAAAAUGGCACUAAUCAAACAAAUGGGGAAUGUCCUGAUGACUUCUUAGUGUACACUGUAUGGAGUAGUCAGAUGUUUGUUUCCUUUCAGCAGGUUCCAAAACUGAUUCAGAGGUAGAACUGACUUCAAGGAUGCAAAGUCUUUUCCAUUAAUCACAUUUUCAGCUUCUACUCAGUUAGAUGCAUAUGACUCGCGCUUGAGGGCAGUUGAGUCUUUCCCAUGUUUGUCUGAAAUGGGAAAGGCAGCCAACAAAAUGUGCCACAGGUAGAGGAGGGUGGAAAACACAUCAGAGCGGGAUGCUGAGAAAAAGUGUGAAGGUGAGAUGCAGUCUCUCUGCUAAUGGGAAGUGAAGGACUCGGUAAUGCUGUUCAUAGGAUGAUCGUCGCCACAAAACAACGCGUCACUCCAGUCGCAUUAACACAUUUCCUCCUUUUAUCACAAUCAAGCACCAGGUGGAUUCUCUCCUGGCUUCAUUCUCUGUCCGUGCCAACCUGUCUGCCAGUUUGCUUGUAUAAGCAAGCCUGUCUCUUGUUUACUGUGUGAGUAGGCCUUUGCCAGAGCAGGCCGGAAAGAAUCAACAAAGACUGCCAAAAGCACAGACGCCCCUCCUUUUCCCCAAAUCCUGCUCCCUCUUAAGAUCACAAAUGUAUUUCAGCCUCAUAAAUUAAAAGUAGUAGAAACUUUGUAAUUUUAGGGCUCAACAGAAAGAGCAACCAUCGGUAACCAUUUUGAGAAAUUUUGGCAACCACUUUAUUGUCCCGUUUAAUGUCCACUUAUUUAGUGGUAUAUUAUAUGUCUAAAUAUUUAGACAGUAAACAAAACACAAGUUUAGUUCAAUAUUUGUUGCACUACAAUUUUGCUAUAUACAAUAAAAUGUAUUUCUUUCAUUUAUAUUUUUAUAAAGUUGAUGUGACUGUGGCAUUUCCCAAUUAUUUAAAAUAUAUGGUGAUUAAAUGAAGAUCAUAAUCCCAGUUUAUGUAACAAACAGCUAAUGCAUGGCAACCACACCACCAUAAAGUUACUGUUGAGGCCUGCAUUGUUGAUAUUUCUAUUAAUAUUAUUAUAUUUCAAUAUAAUAAAACCAGUAGCAAAUUAUAGAUGCAACAAAAAACUGCACGGUUAAUUAUUGAAAGAAUUACGUAUAAAUCAAAAUAUGUAACAACAAAGCAGAAGAAGCACUAAACUGCAAAAGCUUUUAUUCUUGUGGGGUUCCAAAAGAUCUUUGCAAUCAAAUUGUGAUUUUAAAAAUCAAUUAUAGAUCAUAUGGAUAUGGUUAUAUCCGUGGACUGAAACUACAUUAACAAGAGUUACAUAUUUAAUGGAAUGUACUAUCGGUAUUCUCUUCUCAAGGUCAGAGGUCGGGGUCAGCGGACUAACAGUAACGGGUGAAAGUGGAAGUAAUUCAGAUGUCUGGCUCAAGAACACUUCAGCAGGCCAGGUUGCUGACGACAUGUUGAGAGUUGGACCUGCAGAACACAACCUUCUAGCUCAUUUCAUCUCAUUAUAUAGGGAAGCUCAAACACGGACCAAUGGAACUGAGAUUUUCUGCUGUGUUUACAUCCGUCGAGCGUAAAUGUACCUCAACACGCAGUGAAGCCACUUUCUAUUACAAUGUGCCUGGGAACCCGAAGACGUCUAAGGAGCUGUCCCAGGCCUGUAGACCAGUCCACUUUUCAACUGUAAGUGCUCUCCAUGGUUCUGAAACCACCCAGAGCUCACUGUGGUUCAACGACAUUGCUAGAGAUCUCAAACCACAUCCAUUCACUCCAUCCCAUCAGAAACAUUGGCUAACCUCGUUACCGGCACGCUUUACAUUGUUAGACUGCUCUUUGGACUCUAGGCUGUCUUUAAGUAGCUUCCCAUGGUCCUGAAUGAUGGUCAACUUGUUUGAAUCUAUUCACAAUCCACAAGCAGCUUGUCCAAAUACUUGUAUUUACCAACUACCCCUCUUCUCCCACAUCAUCUCCUCUGCCUUUCUCUUUUAUUUUUAGGCAUCCUCUGUUGGGAGAUAGGGGAUGGUCCCCCCCACCCUCUCCUCUCUGGUGUUCUCAUCUCCAAGCCUCCUGCAUAAUAGAUGUGGCUGUAACGCCAGUCAACUGGAGCGGCAUGAUGAGGCAGCUUUAGAAACAGAGAGAGAGAGAGAGAGAUCCCUCUGGAAUGGGUUAUAUUACUGCGCUUCAACCAAAGCGCGUGAACGGACGCCCCCGUAGAUGCGCGCGCAUUGGCCUGAUGCGCGCACGCACACAUUCCCAUAGAGGAACAGCGGGGGCUGUCAGCAAAGCCAAGAAAAAAAAGCAUCGCAGUACAGAAGUAAGAUGAAAAAUAACAACGAAGUCUUCCACUGUCUGAAGCAGCAGAGAGGAACACCGCAUGCGAGGGGCUGUGCGCUACGUGUUUUUGGAAAGCUUUAAAUAAAUCACCCGCCUGAGAGGAUGGAAGAGUCCACCAACAGUGCCAGCGCACUGGCACAAACAGAAAAAAACAGAAGAGCAGUCAGAGAGGGAGCGGGAUUAAGUCCGAGCACUAAUCAGAUUACAGAGAUGAUUCAUUUCCUGGACACUAAGAAUAAAACUCCUGUUGGCACUGCAGCGAGCCUGGCAUCCCUUUGGCAAAGAGGAAAAAAGCAACUGCAUAGCAGAGCUCGGUCGCCAUCUCACACACCCUGCGUUCAAUGAGCCUUACCUUCAUCGAUCUCUCCACCUUCUCUCCUCUCAGUUUGCGUCUUUUUCACCAGAAUCCCUUUAUCUUCCUCUUCCUCCUCUCCGUCAGCUAGCAGAUGAGUUUUAAAUCACAACGAGAAGCCCCUUGACAGGCGUUAAAAAGAAAAGAAAAAAGGUGAUCAGGUUCGGCUGCUUAUCCCAACUCCUGCGCUCCUCUACCGCGCGACUCCUUUCCCGUGCACAUACGAGCAGAAGGAAGCUCUAUUGGUAGUUUUGCUGGGAGCUGAAUAGACGGGACUGUGUUUGCGUGUGCGUGCGUGUGUUUGUGUGUGUUGGGACUGGGUGGCAGCAGGAGAGGCGGAAUUACCGGCACAGACGUGCGCGCAUUCGGGCAGCAGAGAGAGGAAAAGAGGGCGAACCGGCCAUCCAGGUGCCGGUGGUCCUCACUGUGCAGACCCACGACAAGCGUUCAAGUGCACAUCCACAAACGAUGGGGGCGGGUGGAGGAUGCGCAUCUCAAUUCCCAUUUAAAAACACACAUUAACGUUAAUAUAUAUCGCGCGUGAUCGCUCUAAACCCCAAAUAAGAAACUACACCCACCGAUGCGCAGGGUGUCCUUGAGUGCAAAUUACGUUUCAAAUAUCCGAGCAUCAGUCUGCGGAAUUUGAACGGGGGGGGGGGUCCUCCAGAAUGUGCAGCUAUCCGUCCAGAUUGGGCCAAAUAAAACUAUUUCGAUUCCCCUACACCCCGUCCAAAAAAAAAAGAUAUUCCCGUAAUGCGCGCGGCUUCCCCCCGUCAGCGCGCGGGGGGUCUGGCACCUGUCCGAAACCUAGAAAGAAUAUGCAAUCCGGGUCCGGCAGACUCGAAGCGGGUCAGGGCGGUGUCUAGCUCCGUCCUCCGUCAGCAAUUAUAACUCGCAAGACUGACAAACAACUCUGAUAAUAAUCCACCGAGGAGUCCUGGAAAUGAUUAUUUAGGAUGGUAAAAUAAUUGCAUGGCGUGGCGUGGCCAAUAACGAUGGCGUGGCAACGACUGAAGCUCUACUUACAACUCCCCGUGAGAGCGUGCACGCUUGUGCAUACCGAAACUCGCCGGUUUUUGGAGAGAAAAAGAGAAGAAUCGCCACCCGUUGGGAGGACGCAGUAAUCCGCACCGAGGCUCGGCCGCGUCACUCUGUCCGACAGCGGUCCUACUUUGUAGGGUGUUCCGCCCGCUACGUCCACGAUCCCGUCUUUCAGUGGCAGACGGUUCAGGUUUGACUUCGUGCAGGAGAGAUUUCAGCGGGUUUUCCUCGCUGAUUGGAGGCAGCUUGUAGGUGCACUUGGCUGCAUGACUGGUGGUGGAAGGGAGGGGGCUGUGCAGUGUGUACGGGAGGCUGCGCGAGGGUUUCCAACAGAAAAGACACACCCAUACGGCCUGUCAGCUUCCAUCUAUCCAUCUGUCUAACCAUCACAUCUCGUCAUCCAUCUGAAAAUCUAUUUUUCUCUCAUUAACCAUCAAUACAUUGUUGAUUAUGUUUUGCGUUUUAAAGAUUGACAGAUAUUGUAGAUACACAAAAAAAAACUUCUGUCAACUUAAAUUAUCUCGUCCCCCUAAUUAGGACAUUCUUGUGAGGCUGUCAGUGGCAUAUAUUAAUAAGGUCAGUUUGGCGUUAUGUACACAGAUUUCAAACAGAUUUGUUUCACAUUACAACACUACCUCAACAUACUAAGUGGCUGCACAAGAGCACGUUUUCCAUGGGCUCAAACCACAAUGAACUAGCGCAGUUAAAAGACACACUGACAUUCUACUAAUGUGUCAGCUCCUCUUGUGAACUGGCAACGGACACUUCCACAUAUCUUCUGAAAGUAUUAUACUGCAGGAAAACUAAACUUGCCAUGGCAGUUACCCUGAUCUACUGGUAUUCACAAUGAAAUUGAAGGACAGAUUUUGAGGUGCUGAGGAGAUUUUUUCUGAACUGGAAUUUAGAAUUCCACGCAUUUUCACUUUACAGGCAAAGAUGACUGCGUGCGAGCGUGUACAUUCCCUUAACUUAUAGCGGAAUACUAAAAAUGAACUUGAAUAGUUAAAACACUGAAUGUAUGUCCCUAUUUUGAACUGACAUUGCCACAAGUUCUAUGAAUCUCUUUUUAAGAUGCAACGGUGACUUAAAUGCAUAUUGCAGAAACUGCAUGUCGCGGUAACAAAGCUAACGUUGGUAGCUCUUUUGACAUAGGACUGUACAGAGAACAUUGGCUGUCUAGUAAAAAUAACACUUACCUGAUUAGGGGAAACUUCAGGUUGACAAGUAGUUUGAGAAUCUCUUCGGCUCAGUUAAAUUUGCCUUCACACAAGAUGUCCGACCACCACGCCCGCUUUUAGUGCCGACUCCAACUCAGAAAUCACGUACAAGACACCAAGGCGCAUGCGCGCAGUCGUAAAAGGUUUUCGUAAAAUAAAAAAAAUGGGGCUCAACUCAUAAAUGCUUGUGAACUGAAAAUACUUUUUAGGGCAACGUCAGGUUUGUUUGGCCUGACACGUUUUUUGUUAGUUGUUUAUGGCAAAGCUUUGUUUUUGAGUCAGAUCAAUUAGAAAACCUUUAUCAGAUCAACAAUUGCUAGUUGUUGUUUUAUAAGUGUAGAUUGAUGCUUGAUGUGUGGACGGAGAGAGAUGAUAACUAUAACUUGUGAAAAACUUUCUGAAAAACAAAAGUUUACUCAUCCGUAGUUUGCAUAGUUUACUAUAUACAACACAAAUAUUACUGUAUUAACAGUGUUUCUCCUAGGAUUCCUCCUUCGGGGGGGUGCCAUUUUUUUGAAUCGCAGUGAAAGGACGACUCGGACCACCUUCAUUGGGGCCACACAGGAAUAGUAAACAUAACAAACAAAGAGGGCAAGGAAAGAAAGCGUUUUAGGGUAGCAUGAGGGUGAUGGGUUGGCUGCUGUCACCAGCCUGGCCAUGAAUUAGAAUUAGUUCAGUCGGGGGGGGGGGCAUUGUGCGUGGGCUGAAUGCUGGAUAUUGCGUCGCUAUGUGUUAAGUGGAAACGUGCUGCGCAUCUCUCAGUGUGACACCGAUACCGCCUCACAUGAGAGAGUGUGAGCAGAAACAUGACAAUGGAGGACAAGUGAUUAGCCGUGAUGGAUGAGUUGUGACUCUGUGAUAAAAGCCAUGGGUGUGCGGAAUAUUGAGAGCCUGGUAUGCACACACACUAUAAAACAAGUGAGAGAGAAUGUUCAGAACAUUACAAGCCUGCACACUGACAAUAUGGUAAAGUUUAAUAAAAACGUGUAGUUAUGAAUCUAAACUUGCCCUCCAACAAACUUAACAUUAGCGGUGAACAAAAAACAGUCUCUGACAACAGACUAGAAGAUAUGAACACUCACUCUUAUAGUUAUAGUAUAGUUCUGGCUCAUGUAUAACCGUCGCUGAGACGUGAAAACCAGCAGAGCAUUUCACAGAAGACUUGCCUAAAACAGGCUGCUCCCUGCGGGCCGAGAUGAGGCCGACCGCCCGCUGCUGGAGAGCUCUGGCGGUCCCGUUAACUACACCUCACAGUACUCGGGCUGCGACUGAUGACAUUUCACGAGUCCACGAGAACACAAGUCUAGACAAGAACGCAUGUUGAGUCUUAAAGAUUCUCCCUGUCUCAAACGCACACACACACACACACACACACACACACACACACACACACACACACAUACUUUGGAUUCCACCAGCUGGUAAUGGGAUAUAUGAAAAAGAUGGGUAGACCAAAUCUCUCUAAUGUUUCUCUAAAUAACACACGCACACACUCAGUGGAUAAUCUCUGACCCUACAUGGACACAUGUUCCAACAAAAUGCAUAGAUUAAACAUACGUAUGCGUUGGAUUGUAAACAUGAUGAAACAAUGUUAUUGUUGAGCCUCCCACCCUAAAUACCUCCAACAGACAGACACACUGUUUGAUCAGUUUUUUUGCGGUCUGCGGUCCUGGUGUCAUCAGAGAGCUCAUUCCACCAUUUAGGAACCAGGACAGCAAAGAGUUGUGAUCUUGUCAAGUGUUUUACUCUCAGUGAGGGAGGAACAAGCAGUUUGGCAGAUGUAGAGCAGAGUGUGCGGUUUGGAAUGUAGGGUCCGCACAAAACUUCACAAAACCACUGCAGCAGCUGAUUUCAUGGAAUGAAAAACCAAACAAGGAAAUUACCCACUGGAGUAAAUUAAAGUCUAUAAAAAAAAGCAUCUAUCUAAAAUGCAUUUCCUGCUGAAAAUGCGUUGGAAUGCAAAAUGCUGAAACCUGAAAUGAACUUGAUGAAGAAAGUUGAAGGGAAUUUUUAUACAUUUGCUGAAAAUACAGAUAUUAGAAAAGCUGAAAUUAAUUUGAAAUUGCUGAAAAUACAGAAAUGGGAGAAGCGGAAAGGAAUUUCCACAGAUUUGCUGAAACUAAAGAAAUGAAACAACUAUAGAAGAAAGAAUAUCAAAAAUUGAUGAAAGUACAGACAUCAGAAAAGCUGAAAUUCAAUAGAUUUGCUGAAAAUACACAGUUGAGAAAAGCUUAAAUAUAUUACAAGAAAUUGGUGGAAAUACAGAAAUGGAAGAAUCUGAAAUGGACUAAAAAAAUAUUGGAAUAAAAAAUACAAGAAAAAAAUUAAUUUAUAAAUUUAAAUAUUGCUGAAAAUUCAGAAAUGACAAAAGCUGAGUUGAGUCUUAAAAAAUAUAAUACUACUAUAUAAUAAUACUACUAAAGUAAUAUUAGUAGCAAUUGUAAUUUUGGCAGUAAUAAUAUAUUAUUAGAAUAAGUAGUAGUUUUAGUAUCAAUAGCAGUAGAAAAAUAGUGUUAGUAGUACUACUAGUUGUAUCAUUUGUAGUACUAAACUGUUAGUCAUUGUAGUAUUUGUAGUAAAAUGAGUAGUAGUUGUGGUAUUAAUAGCAGUAUAAAUACUGGUAGUAUGUUUUCUUAUAGUAGUAAGAGUAGUAAUAUCAGUUGCCGAGUCACUGCUACUGGUAGAAAUAGUAUUUUUAGUACAACUACUAUUAGUAUUAGUAGUAGUAAGAGUCAUUUAGUAUUAACACCAAGGGUAAGGAAGGGAGAGGGGGGAAAGAGGGAGAGAAAGAAAGCAGAGGAGGAAGAGAAAAGAGGAGGAGAACGAAAGAGGAAGAGGGAGGAAUGGAAAGAGGGUGAGGAAGGGUGGAAUGGUGAGAAAAGGAGAGGGAAGAAUGGAAGGAGAAGAGAAGAAAGAAAGAUGAGGAAGAAAGAGGGGAGGAGGAAGGAAGAGAAAGAGGGGGAGAAAGAAAGAGGCUGAGGAAGGGAGGGGGAAGAGAGGGAGGAAUGGAAGAGGGGGAGGAAGGGAGAGGGGGGAAAGAAAGAGGGGAGGAAUGGAAAAAGA